GACGAACGCUGGCGGCAGGCCUAACACAUGCAAGUCGAGCGGAUCCUUCGGGAUUAGCGGCGGACGGGUGAGUAACGUGUGGGAAUAUGCCCUUCUCUACGGAAUAGCCUCGGGAAACUGGGAGUAAUACCGUAUACGCCCUACGGGGGAAAGAUUUAUCGGAGAAGGAUUAGCCCGUGUUGGAUUAGGUAGUUGGUGGGGUAAUGGCCUACCAAGCCUACGAUCCAUAGCUGGUUUGAGAGGAUGAUCAGCCACACUGGGACUGAGACACGGCCCAGACUCCUACGGGAGGCAGCAGUGGGGAAUCUUAGACAAUGGGGGAAACCCUGAUCUAGCCAUGCCGCGUGAGUGAUGAAGGCCUUAGGGUUGUAAAGCUCUUUCAGCUGGGAAGGUAAUGACGGUACCAGCAGAAGAAGCCCCGGCUAACUCCGUGCCAGCCGCCGCAGUAACAC
rnacentral:rRNA from 1 species